UGGAAAACAAAGUCAGGGCUGGCCCAGCCUCAGCCCCAGACAGAUUGUCUGAAGUCCUGGGAAAGGAAUAGAGGGAAUGGGGAGAGGAAGCAGCAAGCACCUGGACUUCAUCUGGGCAACAGAAAACACUGUUUCACAUAAGAUGCCAAGGAAGCAUGAGACAGAAGAACCACGGAUAAUGGGACAGUGAGCCUAGAAGAAACCUCAGGAGAUUUGGCAUGAAGGGGAGAGGGAGUAUCCUGCUUCUGAACAGGUUUCAUGAGGCCAUCACCUAACCAGUUUUGAUUUACCAGGUAGGAAAGGAGCACUAGGCAACAUGUACGCCAGCCAUCACAAAUGUACUACCAGAUGCUUUGAAAACCAGGGUUUAAUUGGAAAGGAGGGAAGUGCAGAUCUGCCCACAUUAUUCUUUUCUGUGCCAGGGAUCACAGACGUUUUGAGUUAAAGCAAGAAAGAGCCAGAAGGGGGGAAAUGCGCAGAUGCCUAAUUCUCUGCAGGAUUUAUAUUAUUAUACGAUUCUUCUAUAAGUUCAUUAAAGCCUCCAGCCAUCUUUACUUGGAAUAAGCCACCAGAUGUGGACUUUCAAAACCCCUCAGCAUUAUUUCAUCUCAAUGUCUGCUAAAUUCAGAAGAACCUCUGAGGAUAUGUUGAUUCCAAAGAUCUUUGAAAUGAAGUAUCGUGCUCCUAAAGAUUUUUUAAAAAAUCAGUUCCAGUGUGCAUUACGUGAAAGACAAAAAUAAUUUGUGUUUCUUAAGCAAAGAACAAUGAAACUACUAGUACCAGGCUCUGCUUGAAGAUUUGAAUGCCAGGAUAUAUUGAACAAGAGUCCAUAUUAAUCCAGUCCUGGCAGAUGAUGGGGAAGGUUUUAUAUACUUGCCUGCAUUAAAUGUCACUUUAGCCCAAUGGGUUUUGAAAUCUCCAUACCAAACAGGUUUGGUAGUUGCUUCUGAAGAAUAAUGAACCAGUUCCCAGGGUUACAAAUCAUACCCUCACAUGAUCACCAACCUAUAAGUUAGGGUGUGGUAUUCUUCCCACAUACACACCCAGUGCGUUGAACUUCACACUCCUUAAUGAGAUGAGGAAGUAACAAAAAAAGCUUAAGCAGGGAUAAUUGCUGAGGAAAUAUAUGUCCAAACAGAAGGUUGGAUAUUGCCUAAAGACAGCUGGGUGAAUUUUACAGAUGCCAGAAAAGCUUAAGAGUUUGGUUCAUAGCGCAUUCCCUAAUAGGAUUAGCAUACUAUCAUCUAUAUUACAGCAUCCUUGCAGGUCAAACAAAGGUCAUACAAAUUUGGAAAUAGGCCUCAAAUUGCUGGGCUAAGCUUGGACAUGCCCCCAUGGUAAAGUUGCUUCAAUCUCAUAGAAUCCCAGCACAAACUGACUGGGCUUACACCUACACAGAGUCAUGAAUGGACUGGAAAAAUGACUACUACCUGUGCCAGUUUUCCUUGAAUGAUGUGACAUAGAUUUCAGCUCAGAAAACAUAUCAAAAGUCAAUAUAUGAGUUGAGAGAAAAUGAGUUCAGAAACAUACAUGAUGAAAUAAAAGAUUUAAAAAUUCUACCUAGAUGCAUAUUUCAAUGUUACAAUUCAUACAGAAUCCAAUGAGUGAAUGCAGAAAUGAGACAAGAAAUCUAUGUGACUAAAUGGGAAAAGGACAUGAACUUGAAAUAUACUUGUUUGCCUAUUCAUAAUCCCAGGUUGUUGCAAUUGAUAAAAUUAAGAUGUACAUAACAGACUGGAACAUUACUUUUUUGCACAACUUUCAGAAUCCCCCAGCCAGCCUUUUAGGAUUUGCUGCCUCCAAACAUAAUUCUUCUAAGCUGGGAUAUAAGCAAAGGGAGCACUGCACUUUCAUCCCAUGCUCUUGUUUCUUGACUACAAUUUGCACUAUCCCAUUCCCUUGUCUUGUUUACAGUUUGGCCAUGUCUUACAGCACUUGUCACCAUAGGUUAUUGGGCAUAAAAUUGUUGUUUUAUAUGUUACUGGUUUUCUAUUUUUUAUUGUAUUGUGUAUUUAUUAUCUGCACUGUUUUGGGCACUUUGUGUCACGUGUAAGCUGCCCUAAGUCCCUUUGGGG